CACCAAUGGAGUCAUCUUUGAAAGCAAAAUAGAGGGGCAGAAACAAACUUCUGUUGCUAAGUUCCCUGCAGUCAGCAAGAGCACACCUGUGCAGGGUCUGCAUCAACACAGGCCACAGGAGUUCAGGAAUGCCAAGAAUUGCCUGCUACCACCAGAAGCUAGGACAGAGGCAUGGGAUGGACUCUCUCUCCGAGCCUCCAGAAGGACCUUGAUGACACCUUGGUGGGGACCUGUGGCCUCUUGAACUGUAAGGGAAUAAGACGGUGGUUUUAAGCCAA